AUUUAUGAAUUAUAAAUAUGUGAAUUUCUGUAUUCAUAUAUACAAGUGCAUUUCAUAAAAUUAGAAUAGCAAGGAAAAUUGAAUAUUUUAUCAUUUUUAUACACAGUAGAUGUGGCAGCUGUGCUCCAUACAGUCUGUAAAGAAUCUCAUUUGUAGACUGAUUACUGUAGAAUAACAAGUAUAUGAGCAUGGACAAAGAUGUUAAUUCUACUUAACUCAAAAUGUAUUGUCUGUACACAUUUAAGUAAUACCCUUUCAGCAAAUGUUCUUACAUAAUUUUUACAUUGUAUGUAUUUUAUUCUAGGAAACACUGGUGUUGCAAUCAUGGGCAAGACUUCCUAGAUAACUACUGCCCCCACCAAAAAAACCCACUACUCAUGGACUCAGCAAAGGGAGAACAAUGGGAAAUAAAGUUAAUCCCAGCAACAUUUGAACUCAGAACAAUAUACUUGGUCAACGACUUUGAAAGGAGGUGGUUUGUCAAUGUCAGUGAUUCUAACACUUCACAGAUACUUUAUAUUAUCAACCUGAAAAAGCAAAGUUGAUUUUGGCAGAAUUUGAAUUCAGAAUAUAAAGAGCCACCACAAAUGCCACAAAGUAAUUUUACUGAUGUUCAGAUGUUUCUACCGGUACACUACCUUAA